GACGAACGCUGGCGGCGUGCUUAACACAUGCAAGUCGAACGGAAAGGCCCUGUUCUUGUGGGGUGCUGGAGUGGCGAACGGGAGAGUAUCCCGUUAGUAAGCUGACCUCGGCUUUGGGAUAACUUUAGGACACUGGGGCCAAUACCGGAAAGGAGCUCAUGCUGCAUGGUGGGGGCUGGCAAGUUUCGGCGGAUGGGGUUGGGCGCGUGGCUUACAAGCCUGUUGGUGGGGUGGUGACUUAGCAAGGCUUUGACGGGUAGCCGGCCGGAGAGGGUGACCGGCCACAAUGGGACUGCGAAGCGACCCCGACUCCUACGGGGGGCGGCAGUGGGGAGUAUUGCCCAAUAGUCGGAAGCCGGAUGCAGCAACGCCGCGGGCGGGAUGACGACCGUCGAGUUGUAGACCGCUUUCGCCUGUGACGAAGCGGGAAUGACGGUAAUUGGUAAAUAAGCACCGGCUAACUACGUG
rnacentral:rRNA from 1 species